GAAAGAAUGACUAAUGUGAUGAACAAUGUACAAGAUACCUUGGAGAGACUUACAACCGAGUUGGUGAGGGAUAGAGAGGAAAGAAGUAGGGACAGAAGAGGUAGUGAAGAGAGAAACCAGAAUGGGGAGACAUGAGGGAGGCAUUGAGAGAUUAAACUUGGGUGGAAAUGGGAGAGGUAGGAGAGCAAAUGAGAGAGUGGAGCAACCUGAACCAGAGUGGGAGUAUGAUUCGGAUGAGGAGGAUUGGGAUGAUUAUGAGGCCUAUGACCAUGCCUAUCACCAAAGGGGUAGAGGG
rnacentral:misc_RNA from 1 species